rnacentral:rRNA from 1 species
CUUGACUAUAAUAAGAGGUCCAGCCUGCCCAGUGAAUUUUAAACGGCCGCGGUAUCCUAACCGCGCGAAGGUAGCAUAAUCACUUGUUCUUUAAAUGGGGACUCGUAUCAACGGCAUCACGAGGGUUUUACUGUCUCCUCUUUUUGAUCAGUGAAAUUGAUCUUCCCGUGAAGAAGCGGGAAUAUUUAUAUAAGACGAGAAGACCCCAUGGAGCUUCAAACCAAAUAACAACUUAACCACUUAACCCAUAAUAAAUUUAAGCCAUGUUAUAAGGUUUUGGGUUGGGGUGACCGCGGAGUAAAGCACAUCCUCCACGACGGAAAGAACACAAUCUUUAUUUAAGAACUACAAUUCUAGAAAUUAGUAUACUAACGUUUACUGACCCGAUAAUCGAUCAACGGACCA